AUUAAAGUGAGAUUUACACCGUAUGAUUAUCCAGGGUGUUGAAAUUGUGGUCAUUGACAAGCCGCAUUACAAUCAGGACAUGAAACCGUAUGACUAACCCGUACAGGCAUUAAACACGGGCAAGGUUCUUAUCAAUGAAUAAAUGCAUGCGUGAAUACGCGCACUGAUAGCCUGAACGGUAACCUUAUUCCCUUUUCCCGUGGAUUAUUUCAAAACAUGUGCAGAAAAAGACGGAGCGUCGCAAGCACGCACAAAGAAAGCGGUCGGAAGGCUGAAGUUUUGACAAAAGCUUGGUUUAAGUAAAGAAGGUGAAAUGGGGAUCGGCGUUGUCAGAACUGACCGCUAACAUCCAGGCGGAUAAACGCGUGGGGCCAACGGCAGUUUCAUCGAUUCUCACCUGAAUUCUCACUUUUACUUGUCAUCCCGCAGCACCCCAAACGGCUGCGCGGACCAGAGAGCGUUGCAAGGAUGUCCGACGGGCACGUCCUGCACCUCUUGUCCCCUGAGCCGAAUCGUACCCAGAAAAGGAUAUAUUUGAGCAGAGAAGAAGAAGAGAGGAAGAAGAAAAGAAGAAGAGAAGAAGAAGAGAAGAAGUGAAAAAGCAGCUUUUGGAGAGAUUCGGUCUUUUCCUCUCAGCUUGACAAUCUUCAAGUUAAACGGAGCUAAAUCUCUAAGAGCAGAGAUGUACAGUUUUAUUGGCAACUUGGCUGGAACUUGACUUUACUUCAAGGGAUGCCAGCGAUAAAAGUAAAUACACAUACGUAUCCAUCUGGAUUAUUUCUGCAACCUCAGACCUCGUUCCAAGCAAAAAAACCUGUCUGUUAAUGUUGAAAUCUUACAUAAAUAUGGGCGAUGCAACUUAAUGCAUCUUAAAAGAAGAGAAAAUAAUUCCAUGUCAAUAUAAGAUUUGUGACCGAUAAAGCAAAAACCAGUGCAAUUUUUUUAACUUAACACUGGGGUGAAAUCGUACACCUGGGUAAUUUUUUUAACACACCCAAAAGAUGGUAUUAAUUUAGGUCUUUGAAAUCACAGCAUAUUUAUAUCUGUGUAUUUCCAUGUCGUCUUUGCCAUAUACAGACGCUCCUCUACUUACAAACUUUCAGACAUACGAACGAAGAGGACUGUAAAUCCAAAUUGUGUUCAUUGGUCUCCCGUUUCCUGUCCGCAGCAUCAGUUAUUUUUCUGAGCACCAAUUCCGCCGAGUACGACUUCUGGCUGCUACUCCCGCCGCGCAGCAGUGUAGCGUGCGUACUCCCAGCAUCCUAGUUCUUUGUACUUGCCUAUACCCUUAAAAUGAUGUUGAAUAACGACUUACGAACAUUUCAAGUUACGAACGUCCGUUCAGAUCGUAUCUCAUUCGUAAGUAGAGGAGCGUCUGUACAUCCGUUUUCAGAACUGGACAUAAAUAUUCCUUCAUAAAUGUGUAUGAAGCAAUAAAAACAUAUUUCACUACUGAUCAUUGACUGUGUUUUUGUAUUAAUCUGGUCUGAGCCUACACCCAGCGGCCCUGCUGCCGUGGCGACAUGAGCGAAAGUGGCCUAUGUGGCUGAUUCAUCAGUUCCACCUCUAGAAAGAAGGGUGGUCAGGCAAGACCCGACGAGACGAGUGCCUAACUGAGUCUGGGGAUGAUCGGAAACAGAUGAGACCUGCUGUGACCACUACUGCCCCGCCGUCACACACACACGCACACACACACACACACGUGUUUGCACACACCAAAGCAGUGGAUGAAGAGAGUGAGUAACACUCAGAGCCCAGGCAGUGAUAGGGAGAGCAGAAAUAGGAAGCCAUGUUAUGGCAACAGGCCUGUAAAUGUAUAAACAGUCCACAGGAUAUGAGUGACACUUCACAAACAUCUGGUUCGGUGAUAAAUCUGACAUUUUACUUUGUGCCGGGAUAUCGACGCCAGGAGUGAGAUCCAGCGAGAGGCAGAAAAUAAACAAGCCAGCCUGGAGAGUGGGAGAAGAGUGGGAGAGAGGAGUCGCCAUUAAUGGGAAACACUCCCCGUUGUGAGGCUGCGUGUAACUGUAGCCAUUUAUUUAACAUUUCUGGUGUUUCCACCAUGCUGAGAUUAGACACAAUCUCAGCAGAUUACGUGUGGGUGUAUAUAUGUAACACGGCGCGGUUUAUAUGCAGGUCAUGUGAUGUGUGACCUAUAAAGUUCAUUUAACACCAUACUUGGUUAGUUGUACCUGUUACCCAAAGAGUGAAGGUACGGAAGUGAAUUAGUGCGAAGUGGCAGCACUUUUGAAGGAUCUGAAAUGGGCAUUAAUGGAAUCCACCCCCCCCCCAAAACACACACAUGCACACACACACUCGCUGUCCCCCUGCCCAUCCCUGCUCCUGAGCGAUCGGGUUUCCACGUUCGGCCCAUCAGCUGAACACUCGGCUCUUGAUCAAUGGCAGGAAACCAGAGGAUCCAAUGUUAGUACAUCAGAGAAUGAUAUCCACCCCCAAGAACACAAUCACACACACACACACACAGAAACACUUCUGCAAGUCUUACGUCACCUCAUAGUGCCUUUACAGUAUAUUUGUUUUAUCAAGGCUCUGAUUAAUUACAUCUAAAUGCAGUAAUAUAAACGUAACUUUAAAAAAUAGUGAAUCUUGUAAUGGGUCACCACCCUGCCUUGGGUUCCUUCCUGUGUUAUGCCCAUGGCUUCUGGGAUAGGGUCUGGAACAUCACAAGCCUGCAUAAGGCAAGCAGAUAUGGAAAACAGAUGAAUAGAUACAGUAAAUAACAAUCAGCAAGUGUUGCCGUUCUUCCUCAUUCAGUGACUCGGCCGGGAAACAGUGGAUUUUUUGCCAAAUUGUGAGUCGGGUUGUUGAAUUUUUGAAAAUGAGUGCUUACAUAUAGUGAAAAUCAAUGUUGUGCUUCUGUAUCCUGGGUUCUGUUGCUGACAGAAUCUUUAUGAGUAUUAAUUAAGAUCAUGCGUAUCUGAUGUGUGAAAAGCUCGACAUUGUUAUUGAGUCUUGAAUCUUUUUUUUUCUGCUGUGGAAGAGAGAUCAGCCUCAAACGUAGUGGGGGGAAACGGUGAAUAGGGUCAUGCUGUGACCUCGUUCGUUUUAAAUUCCUUCCACUUCACUGUACCUGGAGUCAAACUCAAGGUAGAGAUGUUGGGAUCGGUUUAAUGUGCAUUAUUAUUAUUACUUACGCAUGCUCUCUGUU